rnacentral:ncRNA from 1 species
CCCUGACAGUCACACAUGUGACUGACAUUCGCCAAGACAGGAGACUCACAUG